CUACAAGGGUUUCUAAUCCUGUUCGCUCCCCACGCUUUCGCGUCUCAGCGUCAGUACCGUCCCAGAGAGCCGCCUUCGCCACGGGUGUUCUUCCCGAUAUCUGCGCAUUUCACCGCUACACCGGGAAUUCCACUCUCCUCUUCCGGACUCUAGCCAUACGGUUUCAACCGACGUCUCGAGGUUGAGCCUCGAGUUUUCACAGCUGACCUGAAUGGCCGCCUACACGCUCUUUACGCCCAAUAAAUCCGGACAACGCUUGCCCCCUACGUAUUACCGCGGCUGCUGGCAC
rnacentral:rRNA from 1 species